rnacentral:rRNA from 1 species
UACGUAGGGACCGAGCGUUGUCCGGAAUCAUUGGGCGUAAAGAGCGUGUAGGCGGCUUGUUAAGUCUUGCGUGAAAUCUCGGGGCUCAACCCCGAGCGGUCGUGAGAAACUGGCAGGCUAGGGUGCGGGAGAGGAGAGUGGAAUUCCUGGUGUAGCGGUGAAAUGCGCAGAUAUCAGGAAGAACACCCGUGGCGAAGGCGGCUCUCUGGAACGCAACUGACGCUGAGGUGCGAAAGCGUGGGGAGCAAACAGG